rnacentral:rRNA from 1 species
GACGAACGCUGGCGGCGUGCCUAAUACAUGCAAGUCGAACGCUUCUUUCCUCCCGAGUGCUUGCACUCAAUUGGAAAGAGGAGUGGCGGACGGGUGAGUAACACGUGGGUAACCUACCCAUCAGAGGGGGAUAACACUUGGAAACAGGUGCUAAUACCGCAUAACAGUUUAUGCCGCAUGGCAUAAGAGUGAAAGGCGCUUUCGGGUGUCGUUGAUGGAUGGACCCGCGGUGCAUUAGCUAGUUGGUGAGGUAACGGCUCACCAAGGCCACGAUGCAUAGCCGACCUGAGAGGGUGAUCGGCCACACUGGGACUGAGACAUGGCCCAGACUCCUACGGGAGGCAGCAGUAGGGAAUCUUCGGCAAUGGACGAAAGUCUGACCGAGCAACGCCGCGUGAGUGAAGAAGGUUUUCGGAUCGUAAAACUCUGUUGUUAGAGAAGAACAAGGACGUUAGUAACUGAACGUCCCCUGACGGUAUCUAACCAGAAAGCCACGGCUAACUACGUG